AAGCUAUGAAUAUACUUAGCACGCAUAUCCUCUAUUGUAUAGUCACUGGAUCAUGAGGUAUCCAUUGCUGGUUGGGGAGUUACUAGUGGAGGAGUUAAAUACUGGAUUGGACGCAACUCAUGGGGUACCUUUUGGGGUGAAGCUGGCUGCUUUAGGUUGAUAAGAGGAGUUGAUAAUCUUAAGGUUGAGUCCAACUGUGACUGGGCUGUCCCUGCUGCUAUUCACUAACUACUGAACUCCUAGAGCUGCUUACCAUUGUAUUAUUGUAUAUUUUGUGUAGUUCCCUUUUGCUAUUUAUUGCUGGCUCAGCUGUUUGCUUUAAUCUUUACCCAUAAGCUUCAGUCCACGUGUAGGCACGUGGUUUUUG